CAGCCGCCGCGGUAAUACAGAGGGUGCGAGCGUUAAUCGGAUUUACUGGGCGUAAAGCGUGCGUAGGCGGCUUCUUAAGUCGGAUGUGAAAUCCCUGAGCUUAACUGAGGAAUUGCAUUCGAUACUGGGAAGCUAGAGUAUGGGAGAGGAUGGUAGAAUUCCAGGUGUAGCGGUAAAAUGCGUAGAGAUCUGGAGGAAUACCGAUGGCGAAGGCAGCUAUCUGGUCUAAUACUGACGCUGAGGUACGAAAGCAUGGGGAGCAAACAGGAUUAGAUACCCCCGUAGUCCCUGUCUCUUAUAC
rnacentral:rRNA from 1 species